rnacentral:rRNA from 1 species
CCCUUAGAUGUUCUGGGCCGCACGCGCGCUACACUGAUGCAUUCAACAAGCCUAGCCUUGACCGAGAGGUCCGGGUAAUCUUUGAAACUGCAUCGUGAUGGGGCUAGAUUAUUGCAAUUAUUCAUCUUCAACGAGGAAUGCCUAGUAAGCGUGAUUCAUCAAAUCGCGUUGAUUACGUCCCUGCCCUUUGUACACACCGCCCGUCGCUCCUACCGAUUGAAUGUGUUGGUGAGGAGCUCGGAUUGGCAGCAGUUGGUGGUUCGCCACCGGCUAUUGCUGAGAAGUCCUCCAAACCGCCCCAUUUAGAGGAAGGAGAAGUCGUAACA